GACGAACGCUGGCGGCGUGCUUAACACAUGCAAGUCGAACGGAAAGGUCCUGCUUUUGUGGGGUGCUCGAUUGGGGAAGGGGGGAGUAACACGUGAGUAAACUGCCCUUGACUUUGGGAUAAAUUCAGGAGAAUGGGGCUAAUACCGGGGAGGAGCUACUGCUGCAUGGGGGGGGUUGGAAAGUGUCGGCGGUUGGGGAUGGACUCGAGGCUUAUCAGCUGGUUGGUGGGGUAGUGGCUGACCAAGGUUUUGACGGGUAGCAGGCCUGAGAGGGUGACCGGCCACCAUGGGCCUGAGAUACGGCCCAGACUCCUACGGGAGGCAGCAGUGGGGAAUAUUGCACAACGGGCGGAAGCCUGAUGCAGCAACGCCGCGUGCGGAAUGACGGCCUUCGGGUUGUAAACCGCUUUCGCCUGUGACGAAGCGUGAGUGACGGUAAUGGGUAAAGAAGCACCGGCUAACUACGUG
rnacentral:rRNA from 1 species